UUCCCCUCAUCUCUCCCAAACUACCGCCACCCAUUGCCUCAUCUCCCUCCUCCGACCCACCUCGCUGCCGGCCCUCCCCUCGCCUCCUCCCACCUCGCGGCUCCGGAGGCUGCCGGAUCCACCGCAUCCCCCAUGCGUCCAUCCCUCUCGCGUCCCAUCUCUCACUCUUCACGCAGCUCCUCGCUGCGCCACCUGCAGCGGCUGAUUUAGGCGACGUCCGCCGAAUCCCAUGACCGUGAAGCACAGCCCGAGGUCCCCUGGCACCGCGGAGCUUUCCCAUCCGGCUAGAUUCGGCGCUCGCAGCCACCAGAGCCCACCCGCGACCCUCCCCCAUGGCUAGGGUUUCAGGCGUCGGCUCCGGCGCGGUGGCCAUGUCGUCCUCCUCUUGUCCGGCGAGUGCAUCCCCUCCCUUGCUUCGUCCUCUCUCUCUCUCUCCCACUUUCUGUGAUCUCUGGUCUUCUCUUCUCCUGUAGACGUGCAGGGAGGAAUCGCUAGUGGACAGCCUUGCUGCUGCUCGGGACAAAGCAGCCGUGGAUCUUCCUCCUCGUCCUGCUAUGGCUUCAGCGAAAUAGGAAGUCCAAUGACGACAGUUUAAAGCACAUGGGGAGCAACGAGGCUACCACCCAGCUGUACGGCGGCCUGAUAGGGAGGUGAUUAAUAGCUCAAUUUACAGCUGAUUUUCCUUCUCAGUACAUGCUAGUCGAAGUAAUUAAUUAGUUGAUAUUUGCACAUACAGGAUUUGAGAACUUUAUGUCAUUUCCUAUGUAUACCCACCAGUACUCUAGUUAACUUCCUGUUAUAUUUUAUAUAUCUUCCGAGUUUCAGCAUUAAUAUAAGCUAUGAUGAUGAGACAUUACAUAAUGUUCCAUAAUGUGAUGUUUAGCACAUCAGCUUCCCAACUUUCUUGAAAUAAUGUGUAACGCUGUGGAUAACUUUUACUUGGUUUAUUUGGUAGUCAGACUACAAUCCUACUGACGAUGCGCAAGUUAUGCUAAUGGCAAUGAGUACUUGAUAUAUACAGUUUCAUGUUUACAUCAGACUGAUUGAUGAGGUUUCAAUAUAAAUCCUACAAUCAUUAUUAUGGGAGCAAUAUUCUAAACAUUUGUUUCUAACAACAUGUAUAUCGUUCCUCUGCGGUUUCAUUAUUUGGAUUUCAGAGCAGCCACUUACUGAAAGCAUAAUAAGGUAAUUAAGCUACUUUCCAGAAUAUACGGGAUUGUAUAAAUCCUGACUAACGGUGUGUGGUUCUGAAGCAGUCCUUAAUUUUGUUCUAAAUUUGGCGUUUUCCCGCCCUUUUCAUGUUCUGAAACAAUAAAAGAUGUGUGCACAAUGCUUUUUGAAUUACGUUAGCUGUAUGUCUUUUGCAAAUUGUUCACACUCCAAUUAAAGAAUUGUUGUGAUUAUUCCUGGUCACUACAUAUAUACCUUGCUGUGUUAAAAGUCUGUAGCUUCAAAAAAAAUGUAAGCAUGUCUCUCCAUUGUUUCGUAACGAUUUCAUAUUUAGGUCUUUCUGGCUGUCUAUAUAUACUGCAUAGGCAGUGAUUUUGUCCGGACUAAUUUAUUUUUACCCAAACACGAAUUACCAUGUUAACCAGCAUGAUGUGUUGAAUAACUUAAUUAUGCCCUUUACCACAAUUGGUGUGUAACUAAUAUUUAAAUUAUGUUUACAAGCACAAACUGAAAGUCUAUUUGUACUCUGAUAUAUUGUACUCAUGCUUGGACCAGGAUCUCACAAGGAGGUGGGAGAAGGGACGCCAACAAUUGGUGCAGGUUCGUGCUGCUCCAACAGAUUUCGCACCACAUGCCAUACAAAAUAUUCAGAAGAUAUAUGGAUGAUUAUAUGGGUGUGUGGCAAGUAUAAUGCAAUGAUGAUGAUGCUACGGUUCAUGAUGAUGAUGAUGAUGAUGAUGAUGAUGAUGGAUGCCUUUAGUUUUGGUUAAGUUGUAGGGAAGGGAUGUUGUUCCUGUUGGAUGAUGUUCCUCGGUUAAGUUUUAGUUAAGUUGUAGGGAUAUCAACAAAAUAUUUAGAUUAUGGAUCACAUUGGGAUGAUGUUCCUCAUGUAAUAUCCACUAUUGUAAACCAACAUUUUAAUCCAAUAUAUGAUUUCCUCUCUUGGGUA